AUGACUUCCGGAAAAAUUCAAAAAAUCCUUACUUCUCAUUGUGCACAAGCGGUCACCAAAGCAAUCAAAGAAGAGAUGGGUGAUUGUCUUUUCUCCGUUCUUAUUGAUGAGUGCCGUGAUAUAUCGGUGAAAGAACAAAUGGCCGUGGUAAUCAGGUACGUGUUUAAGUUUUUGAAGUAUUUGAGCAAACAAGGCUAUUAA
rnacentral:rRNA from 1 species